AACGCUGGCGGCGUGCCUAAUACAUGCAAGUAGACCGCUGAAGGAGGAGCUUGCUUCUCUGGAUGAGUUGCGAACGGGUGAGUAACGCGUAGGUAACCUGCCUGGUAGCGGGGGAUAACUAUUGGAAACGAUAGCUAAUACCGCAUAAGAGUAGAUGUUGCAUGACAUUUGCUUAAAAGGUGCAAUUGCAUCACUACCAGAUGGACCUGCGUUGUAUUAGCUAGUUGGUGGGGUAACGGCUUACCAAGGCGACGAUACAUAGCCGACCUGAGAGGGUGAUCGGCCACACUGGGACUGAGACACGGCCCAGACUCCUACGGGAGGCAGCAGUAGGGAAUCUUCGGCAAUGGACGGAAGUCUGACCGAGCAACGCCGCGUGAGUGAAGAAGGGUUUCGGAUCGUAAAGCUCUGUUGUAAGAGAAGAACGAGUGUGAGAGUGGAAAGUUCACACUGUGACGGUAUCUUACCAGAAAGGGACGGCUAACUACGUG
rnacentral:rRNA from 1 species